CCGUUUCCAAGUUGGGCAGUGUAUGCUAUGUUUCAGGCUAACGCUUGAAUAAUAUUCUCCCUAAACUUGAGGGUAAUGCGUGAGGCUGGUUUCACAGAGCAGCGAUUACCUCUCUCUCUCAACGGUGGAAGGAUUACAAGUCAUUUGCUCAUAUUGUCAAUUAGCCUUGGAAUCCACAAAAUUCAACAAAUAUUUUUAUUUUAUAAAUAGAAUCCAUGCUCUUUGUUUAUUUUUCAAUUCUACAAUUUAAAUUGCAAAUAUACGAAAAAAUACUAUUCAGUCAAAUUAAAAUGACCCGAAAAUAGAAAACUUGGUUUCUCUGACCAUUUCACCCCAUCUGAAGAUUGUUUUUUAAAACUUAUAUAACAAAAUAACACUAUAAGAAAUAAUCCCACAUCGAAGAAAUUGAAAAAAGCUUUGUUGUUUAUAUACAAGAAAUCUACAAAUCAAUCGCUGAGCUCGGUAACGUGGGCUUGUCACCAAGUGGAACAUUAAGGUAUUUGAAUAAUUUGGUAUUGAAUUCAAAUUUUACAUUAUGAGCUAGCUUUGAUUUGCCCGUUUCCAAGUUGGGCAGUGGAUGCUAUGUUUCAGGCUAACGCUUGAAUCAUAUUCUCCCUGAACUUGAGGGUAAUGCGUGAGGUUGGUUUCACAGAUCAGCGAUUACCUCUCACUCUCAACGGUGGAAGGAUUACAAGUCAUUUGCUCAUAUUGUCAAUUACCCUUGGAAUCCACCAAAUUCAACAAAUAUUUUUUAUUUUAUAAAUAGAAUCCACAUUCUUUGUUUAUUUUUCAAUUCUGCAAUUUAAAUUGCAAAUAUACGCAAAAAUACUAUUCAGUCAAAUUAAAAUGACCCUAAAAUAGGAAACUUGGUUUCUCUGACCAGAUUAUUUCUUAUAGUUUUAUUUUUUUUUUAACUUAUAUACAAAAUAAUACUAUAAGAAAUUAUCCCACAUCGAAGAUAUUUAAAUAAGCUUUGUUGUUUAUAUACAAGAAAUCUACAAAUCAAUCGAUGAGCUCGGUAACGUGGGCUUGUCACCAAGUGGAGCAUUAAGGUAUUUGAAUAAUUUGGUAUUGAAUUCCAGGUUGACAUUAUGAGCUAGCUUUGAUUUGCAUGCCCGUUUCCAAGUUGGGCAGUGUAUGCUAUGUUUCAGGCUAACGCUUGAAUAAUAUUCUCCCUAAACUUGAGGGUAAUGCGUGAGGCUGGUUUCACAGAGCAGCGAUUACCUCUCUCUCUCAACGGUGGAAGGAUUACAAGUCAUUUGCUCAUAUUGUCAAUUACCCUGUCAAUUAGCCUUGGAAUCCACAAAAUUCAACAAAUAUUUUUAUUUAUAAAUAGAAUCCAUACUCUUUGUUUAUUUUUCAAUUCUACAAUUUAAAUUGCAAAU
rnacentral:lncRNA from 1 species